UGUUUCGGCUAGGGGGCCAUCCCGGCUUACCAACCCGAUGCAAACUGCGAAUACCGGAGAAUGUUAUCACGGGAGACACACGGCGGGUGCUAACGUCCGUCGUGAAGAGGGAAACAACCCAGACCGCCAGCUAAGGUCCCAAAGUCAUGGUUAAGUGGGAAACGAUGUGGGAAGGCCCAGACAGCCAGGAUGUUGGCUUAGAAGCAGCCAUCAUUUAAAGAAAGCGUAAUAGCUCACUGGUCGAGUCGGCCUGCGCGGAAGAUGUAACGGGGCUAAACCAUGCACCGAAGCUGCGGCAGCGACACUAUGUGUUGUUGGGUAGGGGAGCGUUCUGUAAGCCUGUGAAGGUGGCCUGUGAGGGUUGCUGGAGGUAUCAGAAGUGCGAAUGCUGACAUAAGUAACGAUAAAGCGGGUGAAAAGCCCGCUCGCCGGAAGACCAAGGGUUCCUGUCCAACGUUAAUCGGGGCAGGGUGAGUCGACCCCUAAGGCGAGGCCGAAAGGCGUAGUCGAUGGGAAACGGGUUAAUAUUCCCGUACUUGGUGUUACUGCGAAGGGGGGACGGAGAAGGCUAUGUUGGCCGGGCGACGGUU
rnacentral:rRNA from 1 species